GGAUGUGAGGGCAGUCUGGCUGAAACAUCUGUCACUCUACUGGUCACCGGGGUUGAGCUGGCUGGUCUGGCUGGGUACGUGGGUGUCCCCUUCCUCCCUCGCUGCUCUGUGUGUGGCUCUCCUGAAGCUGCAGCUGCAUGCUCAGUGGGAGAGGGUGACCACCCCGACAGAAGAGGCCUGGUACCUUGGCUAGGGGUACCUUGGCUAGGGGCUAGCUCAGCACCUAGUAGCCUGAGCUGCCCUGCUACAAUCUCUAAACAAGCUCUUAAAUGAAGACACUAAAGCUCUAAAAGGUUAAAUUACUUGGU
rnacentral:snRNA from 1 species